UGAGGAAUAUUGGUCAAUGGACGCAAGUCUGAACCAGCCAAGUAGCGUGCAGGAUGACGGCCCUAUGGGUUGUAAACUGCUUUUAUAUGGGGAUAAAGUGGGGAACGUAUUCCCUUUUGCAGGUACCAUAUGAAUAAGGACCGGCUAAUUCCGUGCCAGCAGCCGCGGUAAUACGGAAGGUUCGGGCGUUAUCCGGAUUUAUUGGGUUUAAAGGGAGCGUAGGCCGUUUGGUAAGCGUGUUGUGAAAUGUAGGAGCUCAACUUCUAGAUUGCAGCGCGAACUGUCAGACUUGAGUGCGCACAACGUAGGCGGAAUUCAUGGUGUAGCGGUGAAAUGCUUAGAUAUCAUGAAGAACUCCGAUUGCGAAGGCAGCUUACGGGAGCGCAACUGACGCUGAAGCUCGAAGGUGCGGGUAUCGAACAGG
rnacentral:rRNA from 1 species